UACGAAGGGGGCUAGCGUUGCUCGGAAUCACUGGGCGUAAAGCGCACGUAGGCGGAUUGCUAAGUCGGGGGUGAAAUCCUGGAGCUCAACUCCAGAACUGCCCUUGAUACUGGCGGUCUCGAGUCCGGGAGAGGUGAGUGGAACUGCGAGUGUAGAGGUGAAAUUCGUAGAUAUUCGCAAGAACACCAGUGGCGAAGGCGGCUCACUGGCCCGGUACUGACGCUGAGGUGCGAAAGCGUGGGUAGCGAACAGG
rnacentral:rRNA from 1 species